UUCAUCGCACGCGGUAUCGAUGCUUCACGGCAACUUUUAAUUGCCUGUAUUUAAAAAUAAUACAAACAAAUGGAAUCCCGAUAAAACUACAUCGAUGGCUCGACACUGAGGACCCAGAUAGGGUUUGGCCAACAUAGCGGUAAUCUGUUGCAAACGGGCGACAAGAAAACCGGGCAUAGAAACUUGCACGCACAUAUACAUAUGUAUAUUAUAUUUGUGUAUAAGGACUACACUAGACAUUACCACGUGAUACAAUUUGAGACGAACAAAAAGCAAAAUAGUUACCGAAACGUUGAUCAAUAACGAAUCAGGUUGGUUAUGGGAAAGGAGCGACGCAAACUCAUGCACUUCUCACGAUCGAUGAACAGGGCGUUGACCUUGUUGCGCAGAUCCUCCUCCAGGAUGCAGCGGGUCUUGAGCAAAGAUUGAUGGGUGGCCUCCGCCUGCUGCAGCUUAUGAUGCAGCACAUCGACAGUGCCUUGCAAGUCCUGCACCUCCAGCACUAGGCGAUCGUGGGCUGUGUCCCUGGACGAGAAUGCGGCAGGUUAGCGCGAGCAUACAAAGAUAAACAUGAAUUAAUUCACGACUUACUUGCACAGCUCCAUGCCCUCACGAUGAGAGCGCGCCUCGAGGCGAGUCUGCGCCACCUUAAGCGGAUUCGAUUUGUCCUGUAUGGCCUUCUGCAGCAGAAAUAGAUGUUUCUCCAUAUCGAACAGCUCCUGCUGCACUUUCUGUAGAUGCAUCUGUACGCGACUCUUUGCGCCGGCCAUUUCCUGGGCGCGCCUAUCCAGCGCAUUGUUCGUAUUGUUCCAGAAGUCCCAGACAGAGGAGGCAACGGCAUUGACCACGUUCUGUGAGUCGCUGCGCAGCUGCGACAACUUGGCCCGUUCCGCCUGCGAACUGAAUUCGUAUGCCAAACAAUUUGAUGGGCAUUAUAUUGGGGAAAUGGAAAACUAAAUGUAACCUCUUACCGCUUGACAUGCUCACUGCUGGCCAGUGCCCAGGAGUCCUGGGUGCUGACAGUCGGAUCGUACUUCUCGAUGCCACCGAAAUAGGUGAUGCCGCGA